UGAAUAUCAUAUCAAAAAUUGACCGCUCCAGCGGGGUUCGAACCCGCGCCUCCGACAUACCGUGUCGGCGCUCUAGCCAAUUAAGCUAUGGAACGAUGCACCCGCUCGAGCGAAAUUUUCGAUAUGAUAAUUUUUAAUUUCGGUUUAAAGCGAACCGUGGCGCCGUCUAUAGUGAGCUCUUUACAGAAACCCGUAACUAUUCAAAGUUUCAUAUUACAAUGAAAAUCUUUGACAGGAGACGACACCGUGCUAUUUUUAAUAUCUAAGAUUUUUUUUUUUUUUUUUUUUUUUUUUUUUUUUUUUUAUUUUUUUUUUUUUGUAUUUUUUUUUUUUUUUUUUUAUUUUUUUUUGUGUUACCCACAUUAGGAAUUCUAAACAUUUUUGAAUAUCAUAUCAAAAAUU
rnacentral:tRNA from 1 species